UACAGAGGUCUCAAGCGUUGUUCGGAUUCAUUGGGCGUAAAGGGUGCGUAGGCGGCGCGGUAAGUCGGGUGUGAAAGUCGAGGGCUCAACCCUCGAAUGCCGGUGGAUACUGUCGGGCUUGAGUACGGGAGAGGCGAGUGGAAUUCCUGGUGUAGCGGUGAAAUGCGCAGAUAUCAGGAGGAACACCGAUUGCGAAGGCAGCUCGCUGGAACGUUACUGACGCUGAGACGCGAAAGCGUGGGAGCAAACAGG
rnacentral:rRNA from 1 species